AUUGAACGCUGGCGGCAUGCUUUACACAUGCAAGUCGAACGGUAACAGGCCGCAAGGUGCUGACGAGUGGCGAACGGGUGAGUAAUGCAUCGGAACGUGCCCAGUCGUGAGGGAUAACGCAGCGAAAGCUGUGCUAAUACCGCAUACGAUCUAUGGAUGAAAGCGGGGGACCGUAAGGCCUCGCGCGAUUGGAGCGGCCGAUGUCAGAUUAGGUAGUUGGUGGGGUAAAGGCCUACCAAGCCGACGAUCUGUAGCUGGUCUGAGAGGACGACCAGCCACACUGGGACUGAGACACGGCCCAGACUCCUACGGGAGGCAGCAGUGGGGAAUUUUGGACAAUGGGCGCAAGCCUGAUCCAGCAAUGCCGCGUGCAGGAAGAAGGCCUUCGGGUUGUAAACUGCUUUUGUACGGAACGAAACGGUCUGGGUUAAUACCCUGGGCUAAUGACGGUACCGUAAGAAUAAGCACCGGCUAACUACGUGCCAGCAGCCGCAGUAAUAC
rnacentral:rRNA from 1 species